AGUGAACGCUGGCGGUAGGCCUAACACAUGCAAGUCGAACGGCAGCACAGUAAGAGCUUGCCCUUACGGGUGGCGAGUGGCGGACGGGUGAGGCAUACAUCGGAAUCUAAUUUUUCGUGGGGGAUAACGUAGGGAAACUUACGCUAAUACCGCAUACGACCUACGGGUGAAAGCAGGGGAUCUUCGGACCUUGCGCGAUUGAAUGAGCCGAUGUCGGAUUAGCUAGUUGGCGGGGUAAAGGCCCACCAAGGCGACGAUCCGUAGCUGGUCUGAGAGGAUGAUCAGCCACACUGGAACUGAGACACGGUCCAGACUCCUACGGGAGGCAGCAGUAGGGAAUAUUGGACAAUGGGCGAAAGCCUGAUCCAGCCAUACCGCGUGGGUGAAGAAGGCCUUCGGGUUGUAAAGCCCUGUUGUUGGGGAAGAAAAGCAGCAGGUUAAUACCCCGCUGUUCUGACGGUACCCAAAGAAUAAGCACCGGCUAACUUCGUG
rnacentral:rRNA from 1 species